rnacentral:tRNA from 1 species
GCAGGUGUGCUGGAAUUGGCAGACAGGCAUGGUUGAGGGCCAUGUGCAAGAAAUUGCGUAAGGGUUCAAGUCCCUUCACCUGCACCA